GCUGCAGCCUCCCUCCUUUCUCUGUCACGCACGAAAUUGCAGCUCCCUCUCUUCUUGCUUCUUGCGUGCACAACCACCACCACCCACAAGCGUCGCCAACCUCCGCGACCACCUGCACCGCCGUCACGCAGCCCGCCGUCAGCCAGCUCCCCUCCUAUCUCCUUUGGCGGAGAAUUCUUUGUAGGCGACUUUUGAAUUCGUUAAAGUGGCCUAUCAAUUUGUUUACACAAGUCUCUAAGGAUCAAUAAGCAUUGUCCAUCUGCAGGUUCGAAGAUGUUGCAUCAUUGGGAUCGGGAAUAGAGAGCUUGUAUUUAGUUUUGAUUUGCUAAGUUGACUUGGGUUUGUUAAUUGGGACUUUAAACUUGUCGUACUAUUUAUAUUUCCUUAUUUUUGUUGGAUGAUUUUUGGGACUAAACCUGUAAUCGAUUAUUUAUAAACCUACAGUUAGUUUUAUGUUUUCCGCUGCAAAAUUCUGAAUAAGCCGUUACGUUUUCACACGGGCGAUAAUGCCUUGAUAAUUCUCUACGUUUUAUAUUAAAAGAUUAUUUUAGAAAAGAGAGAAUUGUCGGGGUGUUACAAAGUGGUAUCUAGAAGCUAAGGUUUUACUUUAAUAAAUUUUUAGGCGCCUAACUAUCUAGUUAUUUAAAAUAAAUUUCUUAAAAAUCGAGAUUCUACGUAUUAUAGUGUUCAAAAAUUGGUACU